AGAUGGAGAAGAAUUUUAUUACCUACGCUCUUUGGUUGGGAGUUCUUUGUGUUGGGCUCGAGGAAGUGCAGCCUGCCUAAACUUCAACAUGAUGCUUAUUCUGUUACCUGUUUGCCGCAAGCUAAUCAAUCUGAUCAGGGGCACUUGUAAGUGUUGUCCUCGGUCUCUACGAAGGCAGCUUGAUAAGAACAUAACUUUCCAUAAGUACAUUGCAUACAUGAUUUGCUUGCACACAGGUAACUAAAAUCUUAAUGGUAUAUCCAAUUACUAUUUAUAUGGAACUUAUAUGGCAUUUUUCUUUUGAAUUAAAUGUGUUUAGAUUUUUUUUGAGGUUUUGUAUUUAUAUAUAGUGCUUUGUUGCCUUUU
rnacentral:sRNA from 1 species